GCGAGAUCUGUUGAAACAUUGAUUUUUGACGAUUCCUUCCCUGAGAAGAGGGCGAGGAGAAGAAGAAAGAAAAAGGAGAACUGAAUUGAAUUAGAUUAGCAUGAAGGACCUUUUCACGCGGAGACUAAAAGUACUGCGCAUAACUUCCUGCUCAGAAAUAUAUGCAAAUAAGAAGACAGAUCCUGAAAGAGCAAGCUAGGAGAGUACAGGUCGUGCUGCAGUUAGUUCAUUGAAAACUCAUUUGCUCUUGGAGCAGUCAGGCAGUGACUGCCUUCGGCUUUUUUUCUGCUGACUAAGAUCUCCUAUAGAGAGCUACAACAAUGCCCAAAAGAAAGGCUGCAGGUCAAGAUUUUUGUUUUUAACUUAUAGCCAAAGAGAAGAUCUGCCAGGUUGUCUGCUAUGCUUGUGCCAGUUACACCAGAGGUGAAGCCUAAAAGAACAUCAAGUUCAAGGAAAAUGAAGACAAAAAGUGAUAUGAUGGAAGAAAACAUAGAUACAAGUGCCCAAGCAGUUGCUGAAACCAAGCAAGAAGCAGUUGUUGAAGAAGACU
rnacentral:lncRNA from 1 species